rnacentral:lncRNA from 10 species
GACUGCUGUGCUAGCAAUCAGCGAGACUCUGUGGGCGUAGGACCCUCCGAGCCAGGUGCAGGUUAUAAUCUCGUGGUGAGCCGUUUUUUAAGCCCGUCGGAAAAGUGCAGUAUUCGGGUGGGAGUGACCCGAUUUUCCAGGUGCUGUCCAUCACCCCUUUCUUUGACUUGGAAAGGGAACUCCCUGACCCCUUGCGCUUCCCGAGUGAGGCAAUGCCUUGCCCUGCUUCGGCUCGUGCACGGUGCGUGCACCCACUGACCUGCGCCCAGUGUCUGGCACUCCCUAGUGAGAUGAACCCGGUACCUCAGAUGGAAAUGCAGAAAUCACCCGUCUUCUGCGUCGCUCACGCUGGGAACUGUAGACCGGAGCUGUUCCUAUUCGGCCAUCUUGGCUCCUCAACUCAUCCACUUUAAUACUAAGCCACACCCCCUUCAACCCACAAGAGGAUAUGUGACUGAAAAUGAAAGAUGGCCCACAUGCUGCAAUGGGAACAUUGUGGUAAUACAUAUGAAAUGAUUGGGGAUGGCAGUGGAAAAUGCCACCUGAUUCUAUUAUGAUGGUGGAAUUGCAAAGAAACAGAGGUAGAGUUAAUGAUGCACCAUUUACAGCUCCUCUUCAUUGAAGGGCUUGUUUUCCACUUUGGUUGGAAUGCACUAACUUGGAGUUGCAACAGCCUUCAGCUCUUCACCACUUAGGAACUGCCCCAGCUGCUCGUCAUUCAAGCUAAUAGGAAUUGCCCCAACUGUUCCUCAUUCAAGCUCAUAGGAAUUGCCCCAACUGUUCCUCAUUCAAGCUAACCCUUCCCUGGUCAAUCUUGUGACUGAUGGAGGAAUAUGGAAGCCAAACCACUUGACAGGCCAGAAGAUGUUGUGCAUUUCAAACAGACAAAUGAAGCUGUAGAAGAUUGUUUCUUGAAGGACUCAACCAAAUAAGAAAUAUCUAAAGUUGCAUGCCUCGUUGUAAAGGAAGUAUAUUAAACAUACACUCUGACAAAAUUAACACAGCAAGAUUGCACUUACACUGUAUAAUCACUACACAAAAAGCCAAUAAUCACUUUGUUCAAAAGAGAUAAUGCCACAUAAUAUAAGUAGUAGUUUAAGCAAUUAUCCAGUAGAACAGUUAAUCAUCACCCUCAGUUCACAGCCUUUUGUUUCUCACCAAUACACAUGUCAGAUUGUAAUUAAAUGCACUCACACUGUUCAGGGCAGAAUGAGAGUCCUGGGUUGAAAUGUGGGAACCAAACUGAAAAGCACAAUAAAGACAUGUUUAGACAGCUUUUUAACUGUAUCUGCCUGGCAUGGGGUCUUGGUUGACAAAUUGGCUAUAUAAGGGUGAAACCACACUGGGGCACCUUAUUUAUAGAAAAAAAUAAUUUAUGCCUAUAGAAAAGUUAUGUUAUUCUGUUUAUAAAUUUUCCAAGCGUUGACUUUCUGAGUGAAUUAUUUGCCAG